rnacentral:misc_RNA from 1 species
CCGAGUUAUACAACUCCCAAACCCAUGUGAACUUACCUGUCGUUGCUUCGGCGGACCGCCCCGGGGCCCGUCGGCCCCGGACCCACGGCGCCCGCCGGGGGCUCGAAAGACUCUUGUUUUUUCUACGCAGACUUCUGAGUGGCAUUUAUUACAAAUAAAUCA